rnacentral:rRNA from 1 species
GACGAACGCUGGCGGCGUGCUUAACACAUGCAAGUCGAACGCUGAAGCACAGCUUUUGUUGGGUGGAUGAGUGGCGAACGGGUGAGUAACACGUGAGUAACCUGCCCCCCUCUUUGGGAUAACGCCCGGUAACGGGUGCUAAUACUGGAUCUUCACUGGUCUUCGCAUGGGGGUUGGUGGAAAGGGUUUUUCUGGUGGGGGAUGGGCUCGCGGCCUAUUAGCUUGUUGGUGGGGUGAUGGCCUAACAAGGCGUUGACGGGUAGGCGGCAUGAGGGGGUGACCGGGCACAGAGGGACGGAGAUGAGGCCCAGGGUAGUACGGGAGGGAGAAGUGGGGAAUAUUGCCGAAUGGGCGCAAGACUGAUGCAGCGAGGGCGAGGGAGGCAUGGGGGCCUUCGAGUUGUGAACCUCUUUCGGACAAGCUGAAGCCGCAACAAUGGUUGUGGUGAGGGUAGUGGGUAAAGAAGCGCCGGCUAACUACGUG